GUCCUUUUGAUAAUAAUUUAAGGUCUAAUCUGCCCUAUGAGGAUUUAAAUGGCCGCGGUAUUUUGACCGUGCAAAGGUAGCAUAAUAAUUAGUUUUUUAAUUGGGAGCUAGAAUGAAUGAUUAGACGAGAAAAUAACUGUCUCAUUUUAAUUUUUGGAAUUUUAUUUUUGAGUAAAAAAGCUUAAAUAAUUUUAAAAGACGAGAAGACCCUAUAGAGUUUUAUAGUAAUAAUAAUUAAAAUUUUUAGGAAUUAUUAUAUUUAUAUUAUUAUUAUUAUUUUGUUGGGGUGAUAGAAAAAUUAAUUUAACUUUUUUUACUUUAGUUCAUUAAUUUAUGAUUAUUUGAUCCAUUUUUUAUGAUUAUAAGAUUAAAUUACCUUAGGGAUAACAGCGUAAUUUUUUUUUAGAGUUCUUAUCGAAAAAAGAGUUUGCGACCUCGAUGUUGGAUUAAAAUAAAUACUUGGCGUAGAAGUUAGGUAAUUAGGUCUGUUCGACCUUUAAAAUUUUACAUGAUCUGAGUU
rnacentral:rRNA from 1 species